rnacentral:rRNA from 1 species
GGAACAUGGGCGAGCCUGACGGAGCAUACCGCGUGAGGGAAGACUGCCUAUGGGUUGUAAACCUCUUUUUUCAGGGAGGAAUCAAUGACGUGUACCUGAAAAAUAAGCAUCGGCUAACUCCGUGCCCGCCGCCGCGGUAAGACGGAAGAUGCAAGUGUUAUCCGGAAUCCCUGGGCGUAAAGCGUCUGUAGGUGGUUUAAUAAGUCAACUGUUAAAUCUUGAGGCUCAACUUCAAAAUCCCAGUCCAAACUAUUAAACUAAAGUAUAGUAAAGGUAAAGGGAAUUUCCAGUGGAACGGUGAAAUGCGUAAAUAUUGGAAAGAACACCGAUGGCGAAAGCCCUUUACUGGGCUAUUACUAACACUCAAAAACCAAAGCUAGGGUAACAAAUGGGAUUAAAUACCCCAGUAAUCCUAACCGUAAACAAUGGAUACUAAAUGUUGAACAAAUCCACCUGUGCAGUAUCAAAGCUAACGCGUUAAGUAUCCCCCCUGGGAAGUAUGCUCCCAAGAAUGAAACUCAAAGGAAUUGACGGG